AACCCAGUAGCUAGCCCCC
rnacentral:rRNA from 1 species